rnacentral:lncRNA from 1 species
AUUAAAGGCGUGAACCAACGUGUGUGAGACAUAACCUGAGAACGACGGGAUUAAAGGACGCUGCUGGCGGCGUCCCGUUUAAUCUACAUUAAGAAAACACAAUGGUGGAACAAACAAAACGUCCAAACCGCGUGGUGGUGGUGUCCCUCCAGGCAGGUCCUGGAGAGGUGGACGUGACACUGAGGGUCAGUCACAGGGCGGCUCGGGUGCUUGGGCGUCAGCUGGCUUUAAUGGGAGACCAGUUUGAUCGUGAGCGGACCAGUGGGAACUUAAACAGGCUGCCGACUCCUCUCCACCUGCUGAGACCUGCUCAGACUCUGACUCUAACCAUCCUCAGAGACAUCCACAGUCAGCUGUGGGGCGUUCAGGGUCUGUCUGCAGCAGUGAAGGCCUGGAUCGGGGGCGCCACCGGCAGCCCAUUGGUGUCCAGGUGGAAACCAGUGACCCGCGCUGGCUGGACCAAAGGUUUACUGGUGACGCUGGCCUUGGUUGCCGCGGUGACCGUCGUCGGCACGGUAUGGGUGGAGUCGAAAGCCUGACAAAGUGAGCCACGAGCUGAUGUUUUUCUACUGAGGAGGAUUGGGACGAGUGGAGGAGUCACUGCAUGGGUUCAGAAUUCAUGAGGAGGAAGAUCUGCACUGACGUUAAUCUGGAACAGAAUUAUUUUCAUUCACACGCUCGGAAAUUGAGCAUAAAAAGGUAUUUAAAGAGUAACUAAACCCCCUGAUUUAAGACACGCCCAGUCUAUACUAUGAAAUCUCCAAAGAACAAUCUAUGCUACGCUAACUAGCUACUCAAUACUUCCUAUAGCUUUCUAUUCACUCUUCUCUCAAUCCAACCAACUGGAAACAGAUUGUAGAGUGCACAUUAUUAAAGGGGAGGGGCUAAAAGUGCUUGUUUGUGACUCAAAAUGGUCCAAUGACUUCACAGAAUCUCGUUCUCAGGUGGAAAAAGUGGUAGAAAGGGUUUAUAAGUGCCACAAAUGCCUUGAAAGUGGAAAAAUGUGCAGAAAAAAAUGGAGAAAUGACAGAAAUGGGAUUAAUGUAGCAAAAAUGUCUUAAAGGGAGCAAAAAUCUGGCAAAAAAGUGAUGAAAAUAGGUCCAAAUGUGGCAAGUUUGGUGUAGUUGCAGAAAAAGAUUAAAAAUGGGCUUAAAUUGUAAUAAUAAUAAUUAUAAUUUUAGACUAUUACUAAUGGUUCCUUGAACGCAUCUGGUGACCCCCUCUCAGUGUCUCCCGACCCUAAGGUUGGGAACCCCUGCUUUCUUGGUUACAGGGUGUUUCCAAUAGCAUAGUAAUUGGUGAAAAAAUAAAAACUUGGGUUAAAAAAAUGAAGAAAAAAAA